AAUAGAUACCCUGGUAGUCCACGCCCUAAACGAUGUCUACUAGUUGUCGGGUCUUAAUUGACUUGGUAACGCAGCUAACGCGUGAAGUAGACCGCCUGGGGAGUACGGUCGCAAGAUUAAAACUCAAAGGAAUUGACGGGGACCCGCACAAGCGGUGGAUGAUGUGGAUUAAUUCGAUGCAACGCGAAAAACCUUACCUACCCUUGACAUGGCAGGAAUCCUGGAGAGAUCCGGGAGUGCUCGAAAGAGAACCUGCACACAGGUGCUGCAUGGCUGUCGUCAGCUCGUGUCGUGAGAUGUUGGGUUAAGUCCCGCAACGAGCGCAACCCUUGUCAUUAGUUGCUACGAAAGGGCACUCUAAUGAGACUGCCGGUGACAAACCGGAGGAAGGUGGGGAUGACGUCAAGUCCUCAUGGCCCUUAUGGGUAGGGCUUCACACGUCAUACAAUGGUACAUACAGAGGGCCGCCAACCCGCGAGGGGGAGCAAAUCCCAGAAAGUGUAUCGUAGUCCGGAUUGUAGUCUGCAA
rnacentral:rRNA from 1 species